rnacentral:lncRNA from 1 species
UUGGGGACUUCCUCACUGCCAGCCCUGAAUCACCGUCUCUUUUCAGCGUUUUCUCCUAUUGGUCAGUUGGACUGAAGGAGCCCGAACUCUGAACCUGGUACACAUACUCAUGCCCCAUCACCUCUUCUGACAGGUGCUGUCUCCAUUCCAGGCUCUUCAUGAAUCAACCACUCUUCAUUCGCUGGGCGGGGGCCAGGUGCUCUGUUUGACUGGGUGCUCCUGCUGACUGAGGAAAGCACCACCUUAUCUCGAUCUAGGACAGGGACCAAGGGGUUCUGGCAAGCCCAGCUUUCAACAGCAACAUGGAGCAGAUGACAGUGGAGGAAGGGCCUGAGGCUUUACCUGAAAGGAAGCCCAGGAAAGGUCUAAGUGAUAAAGGAAUCUUUAUGGAUGGGGUCCAUAGUGAUUCAAAGAUUUUCUGAUUGGCAAUUGGUUGUAAGAGUUACUACCUAAAGGCCUGUAAUCAAUAGAAAAAAGUUGUGGAGACUGAGGUUCUUAGUACAUAGAGGAAGUUUCAUAGGUGGCCACUCUUACAGGCA